AGUUCUCGGAACCCAGGGUUGGGGUUGGCCGGUCCCUAGGCCAGCACUUCCAGGGCUGGCUGGAGCGGACAGCAGGCUUCUGCAGCCCGGGACUCAGAGAGAAGCCCCACGGAAGGCUUCCGAGGAACGGGAGACCUGGGCCUCGGAGCUGGAGUGAUCACUCAUAGAUCCCUAGCAAGAUCCUGCCAGUUCUCAUCUUGGCGUUUUGCCAGCUGCAGCAGUUCCAGGGAAACAGCGCCUUUCUCCCAAGCACCCUGCAAGGCUCAGCGGCAGCCCAGGCCACCUGCCCCCGAGAUGGGUUCCAGACCCCCACGGACUGCGUCGGAGGAGGGCUCAGGCAAGGAAGACCACAAAGAUGAUGAAGAAGACAAUGAGGAUGAGGAAGAUUUUGACCAUGAGCCACCGGUUGGAGGUGACCGACUGGAAGUACUUGAGGAUCUCUGAAUGGGCGGCCUCAACAUCCAGCUGGGCUCCCAGCACGUUCUCGUCGAUCCUGGGGGCAGAGCCGGGGGGAGAGGACAGAGAAGGACACUGGAUUAAAAAGAAUGCUGUUGAAGCAUA